rnacentral:misc_RNA from 1 species
CGCCACAGACAUUUAUCUGCAGGUAGUCUGUUGGUCCUGCCAUAUUUGCUGUGAGUUUUAAUUCAGUAUUAGCGCCCUACGUAUUAUAGAAAUUAUUGUGAUGGAGUUAAUAUCAUCCAGUAUGCUGUUAUCAAAUGUUAAAUUAAUACAGUACCUAAUUUUUAACCAUAAGUUUCAUUUUUGAAAUUUUAAUCCAAAAAGCUUGAAAUAUAUUUUAAUUCUCUAGUUACCAUAUGUGCUGUAGUUGAAUUAACAUCUGUUCUUUAAUAUAGGUGCAUGCUGGAUUAUCUGAAG